rnacentral:rRNA from 1 species
CUGAGUCGGCCUGGCUCGGUUUCCCUAGGUGACUGGCACUUCAAAAUACGAAACUCUCGGUCUUAGUUUGGCGAUCUAUCUUCAGUAGGGGCCUUUAGUCUUUUGAUUAUAGUAGGGGUUACGAGAGAGAAGAGUGUACCCCUUCCAUAAUCAUGAGUAUUUUUAUAGUUGCGACUGUUGUCAUAUUGAAAAAGGUAGAAAAUUCCAGGAAAAAACUUCGAAUUGGGAGGGUGAUCUUUCUGGUGAAUUGACUAUAUCCCAACCGACAUAGGUGAACAAGUAGAUUGUACUAGGGCACUUAAGAGAACCAUGUCCAAGGAACUCGGCAAAAUGACCCCGUAACUUUGAGAGAAAGGGUGCUAUCCUAUCUUUUGAUUAUGAAGCGGCACAUACCAGGGGGUAGCGAUUGUUUAUUAAAAAAAACAGGACUCUGCUAAGUGGUAACACGAUUUAUAGAGUGUGACACCUGCAGGGUGCUGGAAGGAAGAAAGGAGAAGUGUUAUAAGAUUUGAAUAGAAGCCCCCGUAAACAGUGGUAGUAACUCUAACUAACCUAACGUAGCAAAAUUCCUUGUCACAUAAGUAGCGACCUGCACGAAUGGCGUAACGACUGUCCCUCUGUCUCCGACAUGGACACGGUGAAAUUGAAUUCUCCAUGAAGAUACGUAGUACCAACGGCUAGAUGGUAAGACCCUGUGACCCUUAACUAUAGCUUCACUUUGACAACCUUAAUCAAAUGUGUAGGAUAGGUGGAAGGUGGUGAAACAUAACGACCGAUCCUGAAAGACCACUCUUUCGUCUAAGGAUGAAUAAUCGCCACACCUAUCAUUUUGGGGGAGGCGGGACACUACGAGGUGGGUAGUUUAUAUGGGGUGGAUGCCUCUUAAAGAGUAUCGGAGGUGUGCGAAGGUAGGCUCAAUCUAUGAUUCUACUCGUGAGUGUAAUUUUAUAAGACUGCCUGAUUGUGAGACCGACUGCCUGGCUAUGAGACCGACUGGUCGAACAGAGACGAAAGUCGGCCAUAGUGAUUCUGGAGUCCCCUGUGAAAAGGCUCUCGUUCAACAGAUCAAGGGUAUGCCCAGGAUAACAGGCUGAUGACUCCCAAGAGCUCUUAUCGAUGGAGUCUUUUGGCUCCUCGAUGUAAACUCAUCACAUCCUGGGGUUGAAGAAGAUCCGAAGUAUUUAGUUGUUCGCCAAUUAAAGUUGUAUGGGAGUUGGUUUUACAACGUCAUGAGAGUGUUCGGUUCCUAUCUACCAUUGGUGUAAAAGAGAGAACUGCGAGGAGCCAAACCUAGUACGAGAGGACUGGGUUGGGCUAACCAAUGGUGUACAGGUUGUUAUGCAAAAUAGUAGCGCCAGGCAGCUAAAUUUGUAUGGAAUAACUUCUGCACCGCGGGAAAUCCUUUUCUAUACAAGUUCUAGGACGAUGUUUUUGAAUAGUACUUUGAAAGGAGAGAGGUGUAAGCACUGCGAGGUGUGAAGCAAUCUCGUACUAAACCAAAUGACAUUCACUU